GUAAAUGUGUGAUAAGAUACACGUGUAGUUAAGUAUUAAGAUUAUUGAUAUUUUUAGAUGUACAUAACAUUAAAAUGAUUACGAAGUCGUGUCUUCUAAUUGCUGCAAUACUAUGUUCAUUAAUAGCAUUCUCAGUCUGUGAGGAAGAUGAAGCAACUAGUCUUGCAAAAGUUUUUGAGGAAAUGGAUACUAAUGGGAAUAAAAAAGUAACAUUUAAAGAGGUAUCAAAAUUUUUGUCAAGUAAAGGGUUGAAUCAGGACGAUCAAGAUUUCAAAAGGACGGUGCAAACAUUCAUGGACAGCUACGAUAAAAACAAAGACAAAAUAAUAACUUUUGAUGAAUUCGUACCUAAACAUGAUGAACUUUGACACGUCAAAUACAAAAAAGAAAAAAAGAAGUACAAAUGAGAGAUAAACUUAACAAUUUUACUGAGAUAACGAUACACUCGUAACAAUGCGUAUACAUAUAUAUAUAUAUAUAUAUAUAGUGACACAAGACACGAGUGCGUUGACUUGUUAUUUCUGUGUUUUUGUACAAAUAUCCUUUUUGUAUGCAUGCUGAAAAACAUUAUUAGUGUUAUGACUUUAUGAGCAUUUCAAAAAAGAGACAACAUAUGUGUAAACAGAUUAUUUGUAUGUAUUAUAAAUAAACACAAAAUUAUUUUC